UGCAGGAAGGGGACAUGUUAUCUGAACUUAUUCAGACUCAAACGAGAGUGGAACUGGGAAUGAAGAGCUUAAUGACGAUGUUGCCCAUGAAGAUGAAGACUAUGACGAUGGUGGCUAUUCAUUUGACUUGAAGUACACACAUAAACAAGAUUAAAGAAAUGCAAAAUUGGGUGGGAAACUUCAAGACAGAAGGGCCGAAAUGAACAAAUUGGGCAUAUCAUUGGUUUUUUUAAUGUUCCUGGUUGCAGGAGUUUGAGCAUAAAUGACGGGUUGCCAAUGGCUAGAACUUCUACACACUCUCAUGUUCAACCACCUCAUAGCGGUGGAACAGUUGGUGCGUCAAAGGUGACUGAGCGACCCAUGUUGAGAUUAUCUCCGAGGUCUAAACCAGUUGACAAUAUUGAACCACAUGUAGCUUAUAAUCAGCUGGAUCAGAGGAUGCCCAUCCGACAUCUAAGCAACCAAGAUUGAACUUAAAGAGUAAAUAUUUAUAGGGAUCUUGCUGUAGUUUUGGAUGAAGAAUUGCGAAGAAAGGGAGCUACAGUUAACCAGCUCGCAAAUCGUAUGGACAGUGGAAUGCACUGAAUGAAGUUGUUAAAGACAUGGAGAUUGUAUGGCCACCACUGGUUGUUAUCAUGAAUACUUAGCUUGAACAAGAUGGAAAUGAUAAGUGGCUCAGGAUGGGAAACCAAGAGCUGCUUGACUACUACUUUAGGUCAUCUGAAGCAAUGAGGGCCGCCAUUCUUACAGGCCAAAAGGACACAUGGGUAUGAGUGUGUUGAUUUUUGAAUCCUCGGUCGUUGGAUAUACAUAGGCUGAACGUCUGAGCAAGCAUUUUGAAGAUGAAUGAUCAAGGAUCUGAUCGAGAUACGCCGGAUCGUUGUCCUGUUCUGUUUUAUCCCGGAGGCAAAUGAAAGCUAUAUGGCAACUAAAAAAAGACAUGGAUAUCUUUAAUCGAUAUUCUCUAGAUGAUAAUGAUGUUGUCAAGGAGGAUGCUCAAGAUGGCGAUGAUAAUGUUGAAUGUGGUGAUGAUGAUGAGCUUAAGCCAGAUGAGAAUCUUUGCUUUGAAAAGAUCCAUGGUGGAAAAUGUUUCAGAUAUUAGAUAUUACAUGGUGUAUGAGAAUUUGUCAUUGAUGAAUGUCGCAAAUGCUGGUGCGGUUGCUGAUAGUAGGGAGGUGGUGCAUCAGGGGACACAGGGGCAUGAGAGAGAGAUGUGAUCAGGAUGUUUAAAGAGUUGAGGCAGUUGGUUACAUAUUUUUGGGGUGGGACAAAGCCACCUUUGAGGGAAGAGGAGAAUGAAUUCUUGGAGAAGAAGAUGAAGUCGCAGGGUUUUGAGUUGAGUUGUCCAUUUGAGUUUGUCUUAAGAAAAUGUUUUUGUUUAUGAAAAUUUAUAUUACUUUGUUCUUGACUGAUGAAAUUUCGACCUUAGCUUAAAUCAAAAGCCAUUAAUUGGCAUACAAAAUUAGAUGUUAUAUUUUGGGUUU